rnacentral:lncRNA from 1 species
AGAGUUUGAGAGUUUGAGGAGAGUUGGUCCGUUUUCCUUAGUUCAGAGUGUUCAUCUUCUUGUUACAGGAGGUAAGUAAUGCUCUUGAACCUGUUUAUGUGUUUUCUGAAGGUUUUAUGGAAGUUAAGGGAGAGAGAUGCAUGUUUAAGUGAGAAGUAGUGGUUUUGAUGAUUUAUGCAUGUAUACAUGUUUCUGUGUUAUGUUUGAUUUGUUGUUUGGGGUUAGUAGAUAGUUUUGGACCCCUGUGAUCAUAUACUUGAGUAUAUGUGUGUUGAGGAGUUGGAGUAUAUAUGUUUUGAGUGGUUGAAGGGAAGGAGAAGAUGGUUUGCCGUUGAAGCUGAGUUCUGGAUGAACUCAGGUUCGGCAGCCGAAGGUUCAUUCGGCCGCCGAACCUCCUGCAUGGUGGCUUGCCUGCCACAGCUUGCCCCUGAGUGUUUUUGCAUGUUCGGCUCUGUUUGGGG